GGAGGAUCCGAGCGUUAUCCGGAUUUAUUGGGUUUAAAGGGAGCGUAGGCGGAUUGUUAAGUCAGUUGUGAAAGUUUGCGGCUCAACCGUAAAAUUGCAGUUGAUACUGGCAGUCUUGAGUGCAGUAGAGGUGGGCGGAAUUCGUGGUGUAGCGGUGAAAUGCUUAGAUAUCACGAAGAACUCCGAUUGCGAAGGCAGCUCACUGGAGUGUAACUGACGCUGAUGCUCGAAAGUGUGGGUAUC
rnacentral:rRNA from 1 species